rnacentral:rRNA from 1 species
AUUGAACGCUGGCGGCAGGCCUAACACAUGCAAGUCGAGCGGAUGAUGGGAGCUUGCUCCUGGAUUCAGCGGCGGACGGGUGAGUAAUGCCUAGGAAUCUGCCUGGUAGUGGGGGACAACGUUUCGAAAGGAACGCUAAUACCGCAUACGUCCUACGGGAGAAAGCAGGGGACCUUCGGGCCUUGCGCUAUCAGAUGAGCCUAGGUCGGAUUAGCUAGUAGGUGAGGUAAAGGCUCACCUAGGCGACGAUCCGUAACUGGUCUGAGAGGAUGAUCAGUCACACUGGAACUGAGACACGGUCCAGACUCCUACGGGAGGCAGCAGUGGGGAAUAUUGGACAAUGGGCGAAAGCCUGAUCCAGCCAUGCCGCGUGUGUGAAGAAGGUCUUCGGAUUGUAAAGCACUUUAAGUUGGGAGGAAGGGCAGUAAGUUAAUACCUUGCUGUUUUGACGUUACCGACAGAAUAAGCACCGGCUAACUUCGUGCCAGCAGCCGCAGUAAUAC